GCCAGGUGCGGUGACGCAUGCCUGUAGUCCCAACUACUUGGGAGGCUGAGAUGGGAGGAUGGCUUGAGCCCAGGAGGUCAAGGUUGCAGUGAGCUAUGAUUGCACCACUGCACUCCAGCCUGGGUGACAGAGCGAGAUCUUGUCUCAA
rnacentral:SRP_RNA from 1 species